UUUUUAAAUUGAGAGUUUGAUCCUGGCUCAGGAUGAACGCUGGUGGCGUGCCUAAUACAUGCAAGUCGUACGCUAGCCGCUGAAUUGAUCCUUCGGGUGAAGUGAGGCAAUGACUAGAGUGGCGAACUGGUGAGUAACACGUAAGAAACCUGCCCUUUAGUGGGGGAUAACAUUUGGAAAC
rnacentral:rRNA from 1 species